rnacentral:rRNA from 1 species
UACGAAGGGGGCUAGCGUUGCUCGGAAUUACUGGGCGUAAAGGGCGCGUAGGCGGCACUGUUAGUCAGGCGUGAAAGUCCUGGGCUCAACCUGGGAACUGCGCUUGAUACGGCAGAGCUAGAGGAUGGAAGAGGGUCGCGGAAUUCCCAGUGUAGAGGUGAAAUUCGUAGAUAUUGGGAAGAACACCGGUGGCGAAGGCGGCGACCUGGUCCAUUACUGACGCUGAGGCGCGCCAGCGUGGGGAGCAAACAGG